UACGUAGGGUGCGAGCGUUGUCCGGAAUUAUUGGGCGUAAAGGGCUCGUAGGCGGUCUGUCGCGUCGGGAGUGAAAACUCAGGGCUUAACCCUGAGCCUGCUUCCGAUACGGGCAGACUAGAGGUAUGCAGGGGAGAACGGAAUUCCUGGUGUAGCGGUGGAAUGCGCAGAUAUCAGGAGGAACACCGGUGGCGAAGGCGGUUCUCUGGGCAUGUCCUGACGCUGAGGAGCGAAAGUGUGGGGAGCGAACAGG
rnacentral:rRNA from 1 species